rnacentral:sRNA from 1 species
UUCCGGAACUUAUAACUUAUGUUAUCUCAUUCUGUUGUGUCCGGUUCUGAGACGUAAGAUUUAGGGCCUACACGUUGAUCUUGUCGGGAUAGUUUAUAGCAGGCGUCAUCUUGUGAUUCGGGGUUAUGUCAAAAUAAGCAAUCAUCACGUAAUUGGGUCACAGUUUCAAGGAUGGAUCCAGCCGAACAAAGUGGAGGCGACUGUUAUGAACUUUUUGAUGGAUUAGAUGGAGUUGCCUUUCUAACAAAAUUAUUUGGCAUUAUUUUAACUGAUGCUAUUCAAAAAGGAACUCAAAAAGAUGCGUAAGUA